AUUGAACGCUGGCGGCAGGCCUAACACAUGCAAGUCGAACGAGUGGCGGACGGGUGAGUAAUGUCUGGGAAACUGCCUGAUGGAGGGGGAUAACUACUGGAAACGGUAGCUAAUACCGCAUACCAUCGGAUGUGCCCAGAUGGGAUUAGCUAGUAGGUGGGGUAAAGGCUCACCUAGGCGACGAUCCCUAGCUGGUCUGAGAGGAUGACCAAGCACAAUGAAAAUGAGACACGGGCCCAACCCCAGCGGGAGGCACCAGUGGGGAAUGUUGGACAAUGGGAGCAAGACUGGUGCAACCACGCCGCGUAUAUGAAGAAAGCCUUCGGGUUGUAAAAUAAUUUCAGCGGGGAGGCGUUACCCGCAGAAAAGGCACCGGCUAACUCCGUGCCAGCAGCCGCAGUAAUAC
rnacentral:rRNA from 1 species